ensembl:misc_RNA Metazoa_SRP Metazoan signal recognition particle RNA
GCCGGGCACAGUGGCGUGAGCCUGUAGUCCCAGCUACUCAGGAGACUGAGGCAGGAAGAUCACUUGAGUCCAAGAGUUCUGGGUUGUAGUACACGGUGUCAGUGGGGUGUCCGCACUAAGCUCAGUGUCAUUAUGGUGAUCUCCCUGGGAGCAGGGUGACCACCAGGUUGCCUAAGGAGGGCUGAAAUGGCCCAGAUCAGAAACAGAGCAGGUCAAAACUCCUGUGCCGAUUAGUAGUGGGAUCGCUCCUGUAAAUAGCCACAGCACUCCAGCCUGGGCAACAUAAUGAGACCCUGUCUCU